AGUGAACGCUGGCGGUAGGCCUAACACAUGCAAGUCGAACGGCAGCACAGUAAGAGUUUGCUCUUACGGGUGGCGAGUGGCGGACGGGUGAGGAAUACAUCGGAAUCUACUUUUUCGGGGGGGAUAACGUAGGGAAACUUACGCUAAUACCGCAUACGACCUACGGGUGAAAGCAGGGGAUCUUCGGACCUUGCGCGAUUGAAUGAGCCGAUGUCGGAUUAGCUAGUUGGCGGGGUAAAGGCCCACCAAGGCGACGAUCCGUAGCUGGUGUGAGAGGAUGAUCAGCCACACUGGAACUGAGACACGGUCCAGACUCCUACGGGAGGCAGCAGUGGGGAAUAUUGGACAAUGGGCGCAAGCCUGAUCCAGCCAUACCGCGUGGGUGAAGAAGGCCUUCGGGUUGUAAAGCCCUUUUGUUGGGAAAGAAAAGCAGCAGGUUAAUACCCCGCUGUUCUGACGGUACCCAAAGAAUAAGCACCGGCUAACUUCGUG
rnacentral:rRNA from 1 species